rnacentral:tRNA from 1 species
GCCUGGCUGGCUCAGUCGGUUAAGCGUCUGACUUCGGCUCAGGUCAUGAUCUCGCGGUCUGUGAGUUCGAGCCCCGCGUGGGGCU